AGUGAACGCUGGCGGUAGGCCUAACACAUGCAAGUCGAACGGCAGCACAGUAAGAGCUUGCUCUUACGGGUGGCGAGUGGCGGACGGGUGAGGAAUACAUCGGAAUCUACUUUUUCGUGGGGGAUAACGUAGGGAAACUUACGCUAAUACCGCAUACGACCUACGGGUGAAAGCAGGGGAUCUUCGGACCUUGCGCGAUUGAAUGAGCCGAUGUCGGAUUAGCUAGUUGGCGGGGUAAAGGCCCACCAAGGCGACGAUCCGUAGCUGGUCUGAGAGGAUGAUCAGCCACACGGGAACUGAGACACGGUCCAGACUCCUACGGGAGGCAGCAGUGGGGAAUAUUGGACAGUGGGCGCAAGCCUGAUCCAGCCAUACCGCGUGGGUGAAGAAGGCCUUCGGGUUGUAAAGCCCUUUUGUUGGGAAAGAAAAGCAGCAGGUUAAUACCCCGCUGUUCUGACGGUACCCAAAGAAUAAGCACCGGCUAACUUCGU
rnacentral:rRNA from 1 species